UGGCUCAAUUGGUAGCGCAUGGUGUUUGCAACGCCAGGGUUGUGGGUUCGAUUCCCAC
rnacentral:tRNA from 1 species